AUUGAACGCUGGCGGCAGGCUUAACACAUGCAAGUCGAGCGAGAGGCGGACGGGUGAGUAAUGUUUGGGAAACUGCCUGAUGGAGGGGGAUAACUACUGGAAAAGGUAGCUGAUACCGCAUACCAUCGGAUGAGCCCAACUGGUAUUAGCUAGUUGGUGGGGUAAUGGCUCACCAAGGCGACGAUCCAUCGCUGGUCUGAGAGGAUGACCGGCAACACUGGAACUGAGACAAGGCCCAGACUCCGACGUGAGGCAGCAGUGGGGAAUAUUGCACAAUGGGCGCAAGCCUGAUGCAUCCAUGCCGCGUGUGUGAAGAAGGCCGUCGGGUUGUAAAGCACCUUCAGCGACGAGGCGUUAAUCGCAGAAGAAGCACCGGCUAACUCCGUGCCAGCAGCCGCGGUAAUAC
rnacentral:rRNA from 1 species